rnacentral:rRNA from 1 species
UACGGGGGGGGCAAGCGUUGUUCGGAAUUACUGGGCGUAAAGGGCUCGUAGGCGGCCAACUAAGUCAGACGUGAAAUCCCUCGGCUUAACCGGGGAACUGCGUCUGAUACUGGAUGGCUUGAGUUUGGGGAGAGGGAUGCGGAAUUCCAGGUGUAGCGGUGAAAUGCGUAGAUACGAGGAAGACACCGGUGGCGAAGGCG